rnacentral:rRNA from 1 species
UUGACCUCGGAUCAGGUAGGGAUACCCGCUGAACUUAAGCAUAUCAAUAAGCGGAGGAAAAGAAACCAACAGGGAUUGCCCUAGUAACGGCGAGUGAAGCGGCAAUAGCUCAAAUUUGAAAUCUGGCUCUCUCUUUGGGGGUCCGAGUUGUAAUUUGUAGAGGGUGCUUCGGCGUUGGCCUUGGUCUAAGUUCUUUGGAACAGGACGUCAUAGAGGGUGAGAACCCCGUACGUGGCCAGUGGUCUUCGCCAUGUGAAGCCCCUUCGACGAGUCGAGUUGUUUGGGAAUGCAGCUCUAAAUGGGAGGUAUAUUUCUUCUAAAGCUAAAUACUGGCCAGAGACCGAUAGCGCACAAGUAGAGUGAUCGAAAGAUGAAAAGCACUUUGGAAAGAGAGUUAAAAAGCACGUGAAAUUGUUGAAAGGGAAGCGCUUGCAACCAGACUUGCCUGCAAUUGCUCACCUAGGCGGCUUCGCCUGGGGCACUCUUUUGCAGGCAGGCCAGUAUCAGUUUGGGCGGUUGGAUAAAGAUGUUGGGAAUGUAGCUCUCUUCGGAGAGUGUUAUAGCCCGGCGUGUAAUACAGCCAGCCUAGACUGAGGUCCGCGCUUCGGCUAGGAUACUGGCGUAAUGGUUGUAAGCGGCCCGUCUUGAAACACGGACCAAGGAGUCUAACAUCUAUGCGAGUGUUUGGGUGUCAAGCCCAGGCGCGUAAUGAAAGUGAACGUAGGUAGGAACCUCUUUUGAGGCGCACUAUCGACCGAUCCUGAUGUCUUCGGAUGGAUUUGAGUAAGAGCAUAGCUGUUGGGACCCGAAAGAUGGUGAACUAUGCCUGAAUAGGGUGAAGUCAGAGGAAACUCUGAUGGAGGCUCGCAGCGGUUCUGACGUGCAAAUCGAUCGUCAAAUUUGGGCAUAGGGGCGAAAGACUAAUCGAAC